GACGAACGCGGGCGGCGUGCUUAAUACAUGCAAGUGGGACGCAAGGGAACACACUGUGCUUGCACACCGUGUUUUCUUGAGUCGCGAACGGGUGAGUAACGCGUAGGUAACCUGCCUAUUAGCGGGGGAUAACUAUUGGAAACGAUAGCUAAUACCGCAUAAUAUUAAUUAUUGCAUGAUAAUUGAUUGAAAGAUGCAAGCGCAUCACUAGUAGAUGGACCUGCGUUGUAUUAGCUAGUUGGUAAGGUAAGAGCUUACCAAGGCGACGAUACAUAGCCGACCUGAGAGGGUGAUCGGCCACACUGGGACUGAGACACGGCCCAGACUCCUACGGGAGGCAGCAGUAGGGAAUCUUCGGCAAUGGACGAAAGUCUGACCGAGCAACGCCGCGUGAGUGAAGAAGGUUUUCGGAUCGUAAAGCUCUGUUGUAAGUCAAGAACGUGUGUGAGAGUGGAAAGUUCACACAGUGACGGAGCUACCAGAAAGGACGCA
rnacentral:rRNA from 1 species